rnacentral:rRNA from 1 species
UACGGAGGGUGCGAGCGUUGUCCGGAAUCACUGGGCGUAAAGGGCGCGUAGGCGGCUUUUUAAGGGUGCGGUGAAAGCCCGGGGCUUAACCCCGGGUCGGCCGUGCCGACUGAAAAGCUGGAGCACUGUAGAGGCAGGUGGAAUUCCGGGUGUAGCGGUGGAAUGCGUAGAGAUCCGGAAGAACACCAGUGGCGAAGGCGGCCUGCUGGGCAGUUGCUGACGCUGAGGCGCGACAGCGUGGGGGAGCAAACAGG